rnacentral:lncRNA from 1 species
UUUCCCUAUAUAAUUUGUCGUUAAAGGUGUGGUGACAGAAAUUUUGUGAAGCUCUGUUCUUUGCUCUUAGUGAGUGGCUACUGACUCG